GUGACUUCGAAGCGGAAAGAACUACUGUAGAAGACUUCAAAAAUGGCGAGUCCAAAGGACAACGACGAAAGACUGAAAAAACUCUUUGUCGGUGGGUUAAAGAGAGAUACCGAAGAUGACACUUUAAAGUCAUUCUUUGAACAGUACGGGGCUAUGACAGACUGUGUUGUGAUCCGAAGCCAGAGUAAAGAGUCCAGAGGAUUUGGUUAUGUUACCUUCGAAGACGAGGAGAGUGUCCUUAAAGUGUUAGAAGACAAGAAAGAAAAAGGCCCUCACUCCAUUGACGGAAAAGAAGUCGAAGUGAAACGAGCCAUUCCUAGAGAUGAUCAAAGCUCGACGGCUCAUCUCAAAACGAAGAAAAUUUUCAUCGGUGGCCUACCAGACGAGGCAGACGCCGAAAGCAUAAAGCAAUCUUUGGCUGAUCGAGUUCGCGGCAUGACACCAACCAACGUGGACUUAAUCAUGAAAAAAGAGGACGAGACCAAACAUCGGGGUUUCUGUUUUGUUGAAUUUGAGGACGAGGACAUUGUCGAUGAACUGUGCUGCAUAAAACAGGUCUCUAUCAAUGGAAAAAGCGUGGAAAUCAAGAAAGCUGAGCCUAAGGACAAAUCAGGUUCUCAAGGACAAAGAGGACGCGGUGGUCGCGGAGGUGGUCGUGGAAGUUUUGGUGGCCGUGGUCGCGGCGGUGGCGGCGGAAUGGGAGGCAAUUAUCAUGGAGCUGGUGGGUAUGGUGCAUACCCAGGAGGUGGUUAUGACGGCUUUGGUGACGGCGGCGGCUAUGGUGAUGCUAGUUAUGGUGGAUAUGGCAGUUAUGGAGGUGAUUACUACGGUAACAUGGGUGCCUAUCCACAAGCACCUUCUAAUUAUGGCCCUCAGGGAGGUUACAGAAAUAACAGAUACAAGCCAUACUAAAAAUAAAGCAGGCAAACUCUUCGUUGGUUGAGUGCCUAAUUGGAAACUGGAGUUCAUGAUGUCAUAUCCUGAAGGAACACCAACUAGGGAAUGAACAUCACUGAUUUAAACAUUUCACUUUGAUGCUCAUGAAAGGAUUUCUACUGGAUGGAGAAAUCUUUGGCACAGACUUGACACAAAUAACCAGUGAGAUGAGUCUGCAGUGAAGUCUCCAAUGAAAAUUAGCCGCAGAACCUUGCCACGGUUUUUAAAUUAACAUUCUGUGUUCUGAAGGACACCAUAGGUAUGCGGUUAUUAACUGCUCGUUCACUGCUAACGGUGUCAAAUAAAUUGACAUUUUUCGAGCCAAAGGUUUUGCUCUUUCAAUUUUUUGUCUCAUACCAAUACGCUUGUCCCUCUUUUCCCACUUGGCUGAGGGGAAACAGAAAGGACUGCUACGUAAGCGAAAAGAGAUGGAAGAUUGAUAUGGAAGAUAGUUCUUUGAAAACGAUUUUGAUAAUUGUAUUCUGAAUGAAUAGAAUCUUUCUUUUCCAAGAAA